GUUUAGGCCAACAAUCCCCGAACUUAGCCUACAGGCCCUCAGCAGCCUCCCACCCAGCACCACUGAGGGUGUCCUCAGGAAAUCAAUCAGUACUUUGUUACCUCUGUGGGGACUUCAGCUUUCACCUCAUUCUCUUAUUCUUUCAACUCCUUUCCUCCCUCUCCUUUACUUCUUACCCUUCUUGUCUGCUUCUGCCUGAGGCCUGCUGACAGUACCUGCUAACACUGUUUAGCCCUAUUGGUGGCCAGCAUUAGGUUAGGUUUUCAGCCCCUGUUGCAAAACAGAUCUAGUUACCUGGAGAUUGCUCACUCAUCACUUCUGCGGCUGCUUCUGUGGUUCUCUGGGGCCUCUCCACACCUGCCAGGCUGGCUGCUCUUCAUGGCUGGUGCUGCCAUGGGCCAACCCCAGGAUGGCAUGCUUUGACCCUCAGAAUUCCCGUCUAAGAAGUGCUAUCAGAGCAUGUGUGUAUGCUCUCACUGCGGCAGUAUUUCAUGUCUAUAAGCGUGUGCAUUGCUAACUGACUUCAGAAUGGUUUUGUUACCUUUCAUCUUUCUGGAAAAAAAUGACACAACAGUUUAAGUGACUUCAAGUUUACAUCUUGUGUAGGAGAAUUUGCCUUCCAGUACCGAAUGACUUUAUAAAACAAAACUUGUGCAUUUGUGCAGCCAGCAGAGGUGGGUUCCGUCCCAGCCGACUCAUCUACCACGCUUCCUGCAAGAUGGAUUCAACUCAGCAUAUUUGCAAUCACUGGCCAAAGACCAAGGAGACAGCCCUGGGGAUUUCUUCCUGGGACACUUCUCAAGGAAAACUCAGUUCCUUAGAUAGAACAGCAGAUUUAUUUUGAACCAACUGUCAGCUAUAAUUGAACUAGGAGACUACCCUUUUUCCUGUAAUUUAGAGUAUUUAAAAGAAAUACACAAUAAUAACUACAUCCAACACUUACGUAGCACUUACUGGCCACCACUAUUCUGACUAUUUUACUUUUAUUAACUCAUUUAAUCUUAACAACCCUAUGAAGCCCAUACUGCUAUUAUCGUCAUUCUCAUUUAACAGAUAAGGAAACUGAAGGACAAUGAUGUUAAAUAACUUGUCCAAGACUACACAGCAAGUAAGAAGCAGAGCCUGAGAUCGAGCCUAGGCAGUCUGGCUCCAGUUUGUGCCUUUAUUUCCCUGUGCCACCAUCUACAAGUUAAGAAGUGCCUUUUUAAUUUUUGGCCAAUGUUUUUGAUGGGACUGCAAGUAUGUAGAAUUUAAUGACUAUUUUAUUUAAUAAAAUUAUGUAUAAUACUUGACUUUGAUACUAAGUCAAUUUGUACUUUUUCAGGACUUCUAAGUUGUUAGUUCUUUGAUAAAAUGAUUAUAGGAUUACAAUACAUUUUAUUUUGUGAAUAAAGAAUGAGAAACAGGCUGGGCACAGUAACUCAUGUGUAUAAUCCUAGCACUUUGGGAGGCCAAGACUAAUGGAUUGCUUUGAGCUCAAGAGUUUGAGACCAGCCUGGGCAACGUGGCAAAACUUCAUCUCUACAGAAAAUACAAAAUUAGCCGGGUGUGGUGGCACGUGGCUGUGGUCCCAGCUACUUGGUAGGCUGAGGCUGGAGAAUUGCUUGAACCCAGGAGGUGGAGGUUGCGUUGAACCGAGAUCACGCCACUGCGCUCCAGCCUGGGUGACAGACCAAAACCCUGUCUCAAAAAAAAAAAAAAAAAAAGAAUGAGAAAGAUGAGAAGGUGCACUCCUGCUUCCUCUCAUCUUCAUGUGAAAUUCACAGUCAUCCCUCAAAACCAGUGUAUACACAUCACCUCUCAUGUGAGGCCUUCAGUUGUAGAGUUAAUUACUUCUGCUACUGUUACAGCUUAUAUACAUAUCUAUAAUUAUACUAAUCACACUGCAUUGUAAUUAUUUGUGUAUCUCAUUUAUGACCUAUGCUUGACAGGAAAGCCUGAAGAUAGGAUCUAUGUUUUAUUCAUGUGUGCAUUUGUGUAAUAAAGUCAACAAAUUUUAAUUGAACUGUAUUUGAGG
rnacentral:lncRNA from 1 species